rnacentral:lncRNA from 1 species
CGAAAAUGGCAGCAAACAAGGGGGUUUUAAGAGCUUAAGCUUUAAGCCACUUAUUUCUCUUACAAAUCAAGGAAAUUGAGAUUUGGGCUUAAAUCGGAAAGUACGAAGUUAUGGACUAAAAUAGAGUAGUUGGCCGAAAUUUACAUUCGAGGUAAGUUCGUAUGAUAAUAAUAGUGCAAUGUUAUGUUUGAAUUAUAAUUCUUUACUAUUAUUGCAUAUAUUGUAUGAUUUAAUAUAUAUAUUGGAAAAGUUGAUGAAAUGGUGUAUAUGAUGUGGAAAUAUGACAUGGAAAAAUAUUACAUGAAAUGCAAGAAAAUGAUGAUCCAUGACAAGUGACAUAUGCAAUAUGUGAUAUAUGUUAUGUAAAUUCUUAAAAGCUUAUUUGCUAUUUGAGUUAUGCCUUAUUAUGCUAUGAAAGGGCAAUUGAUAAUAUGGAUAGUGAGAUCGACACUUCGAGUAAGUUCGACAGAGAUGGAGUAUCGAAAAAUCUCGUCUGAACCUUAGGAAUAGUCUAGGGUACAAGUGACAUGUCACUAAGUAUUAAGAAAUCCGAACUUGUUGAGUUAGUCCAAGUUCGUGAUAUAUAUGAGGCAACUGAACUCAUUGAAUUGUUUCGAGUUCAUUAUGGACGCGAGCAUCUGAACUCGUUGAAUUGGUCCGAGUUCAUAAUGGAUGCGAUAUAUGUAAUUGGGUUCCGGGCAAUGGUCUUAUGUGUCCUACCGGUGGCUAGGUAAUCCUUGAGUUGGUUGGAUACCUGAUGGCUUGUGUGAGCAGCCCGUUUAGCUACACCUUGACCGAUAGCUUUUAUGAGCAAACCCGUGAGUAGCUCCAUUGUGAGGGUUACAUGUUAUGAGGUAGUUUUGGCUAUGUAUGUAUAUGAGGCACUUAUGUGCAAGUUUUUCGCGUAUCCAAUAGUAUUUUGAGGGUUUAACGGGCAAUGCAAUAGAUGUGAUGGAAGUCCCAAGGAGGGCAUGUUAAAGAGGUAUAGUUAUAUGAUAUAUUACGAUGAGUACAAGUAUGUACACUGAUGCGAGCUGGCGAGCUCGCAUCAUACACUAAGCUUAUGGUUAUUGGGACUUUGAAAUGUUGAAACAUCGGUGAGCUAAGGUGUAUGAAUUAUGAUCAUAAAUUUUAUUACAAUAUCAUGUUAACUUAUAUUGUGAAUUUGAACAUGAAAUUCAUGAAAUGGUGAGUUCAUGGUUAGUCGAAAGUGAACUUAUGAUAGUUAUCAUUAUAUUGCACCAAAACAGUGUUGGACAGCAGCAGUUGUAUAACUUUGAAAAUUCACCAAAAUUUGUGAAAAUUGAGUUAGAGGCUGAAUAAAAUAUUAAAUUAAAGCUUAAUGAGUCUAGUCUCAAAUAGAAGAAACGAUGUAAGAAAAAGAGUUUCAUAUUAUGAAAUAUUUAAGUUGUUGUGAGAUAGAGUUAAAAUGAUUUCGAAAUCCCCUAUUCUGAUUUGAGAAAAUCAUUGGAAAUUUUACAAAAAUAUUUAUGGGUUAUAAUUUAUAUGAUUUGAAUCCUUAAUGAGUCUAUUUUCAAUAGAAAUAGACCAGAACAUCAUCCCAGUCCCGUAUUAUAAGAUAAUUAAUUUUUAGUGAAGAGGGACCGGAAAUGUCAGACCGCAAAAAAGGGGUAAAUUUAAAAAAUAAACUGUACUAAUUGGCUAAACCAAAAAUUCUGAAAAUUUUAUGGUAAAAAUAUAUAUGAGUCUAGUUUUUGAAAAAAUUAGCGGAUCUUAAUUUGGAGUUCCAUAACUCCAGAUAUAGAUAAUUUAGUGACUAUGAAUCGAGAAAAUAGCUUAACCUGAUCAUAGGUAAAAAGGCAAUUAUGGUAGUAUUACCUUGAGAUCAAGUUGUAACAAUUAGUGGAAGCAUAUUGAUAAAUUGCUUAUUAUUUUCAUAUGGACUUACUAAGCGUGAAGCUUACUCCCUCAUUUCCAUUUCUUUUAGCUUGAUAGGUUAGCUCGCUGUUGGAGAUCGUCAGAGGCAGCAUCACACUAUCAAGUCACCACCUUUGGAAUAAUGAAGCAUAUGUUAGAAACUUCCAAGUGAGUGGCAUGUAUAGCGAUCUAGUUUUAUGGCAUGUGUUAUUAUGCUUUGGCCAAAUGUAUUGGCUUAUAUUAACUUAUAUGCAUAUGGCCAUGAGAUGUGGCUCAUAUUGAUUACGGUUCGUAAAUCUAGCUAUCCAUGUUAUGUCUAGUGUUUAUGAUGUGAUUAUGUUUGUUUGUCAAGCUUGGUUGGUAAUAUGACAUGAGUGCUGGAUGGAUAAGUUGAUAACCAUAGUAUAAUGGUAAAAGUAAUCAUCAAAAUGACAAGUCUUAUGGAUGUGAAAUAAGGAAUCUAGACUUGGUAAUUCAUGAGUAGAUGCAUUGUUUGUAAGAAUACAUGCUAAUGUUAUGAAUAUAUCUUAAUAAGGAGUGUUUAAUCACUAAAAUGAUGCCAUGAUUUGUGGUUUUAAUAUGUAUAAGGUUUUAAGGGUUUAUGGGUAACAUGAAGGCUUGGAAAAUAGCCUAAGUGUUGACUACACGGGCCGAGAUACCGUCGUGUGUCUCAACCGUGCGAGGGAUACGAUCUGGAGACACGGGCGUGUGGCGUGUGGUUCGAUUUGCAUACUGACAUCAUAAAUAGAGAGUUACACGGCCUGAGGAUAUGGGCGUGUCCCUAUGUCCACACGAGCGUGUGACCCUGUUUCAUAGAAAGAAAUUUUCUAAGUUUUCCCAAAACUUUUUAAGGUUCUCGGUUUAGUCCCGAAUCAAUCCCGAUGUAUGUUUUAGGUUUCGUAGACCCAAAUAAGGGACGACAUGCAUGUGUUUGAAAAGUUUUGAAUCAAAAGAAAUUUUAUGGCCCGAUUUUUGCAUGUGUGUGUAUGAUUAAGUUCGGUAAUGCUUCGAACCCUGUCCCGGCAUCGGAUUCGGGUAAGGGGUGUUACAUAUCUAUUUUAUAUUUUUAUAUUUUAUAAUUAUUGUAAUAUAAUAAUUAAUUGUAUUGUAUUUAUGUUUUUUUUUAUAUUAUGCAGAUAUCAAAAUGUCUUCUGGAACAAAUACGGAUCACACUCUAUUGAGGAUUAAUGAAACAAUAAAAUUAAUUAUAAAUUAAAUAAAAAAAUCGUUUUAGUUUGUCUUUUUUUCUUGCCAAGGGCUACUUUGCUCA